rnacentral:rRNA from 1 species
UACGUAGGGUGCGAGCGUUGUCCGGAAUUACUGGGCGUAAAGAGCUUGUAGGUGGUUUGUCGCGUUGUUCGUGAAAUCUCACGGCUUAACUGUGAGCGUGCGGGCGAUGCGGGCAGACUAGAGUACUGCAGGGGAGACUGGAAUUCCUGGUGUAGCGGUGGAAUGCGCAGAUAUCAGGAGGAACACCGGUGGCGAAGGCGGGUCUCUGGGCAGUAACUGACGCUGAGAAGCGAAAGCGUGGGGAGCGAACAGG